rnacentral:rRNA from 1 species
UACGGAGGGGGCAAGCGUUGUUCGGAUUUACUGGGCGUAAAGGGCGCGUAGGCGGUUGAUUAAGUUACUUGUGAAAUCUCUGAGCUUAACUCAGAGCGUGCAAGUAAUACUAUUUGACUAGAGUGCAGAAGGGGCAACUGGAAUUCUUGGUGUAGCGGUGAAAUGCGUAGAUAUCAAGAGGAACGCCGGUGGCGAAGGCGGGUUGCUGGGCUGUCACUGACGCUGAGGCGCGAAAGCUAGGGGAGCAAACAGG